rnacentral:rRNA from 1 species
UACGGGGGGGGGCAAGCGUUGUUCGGAAUUACUGGGCGUAAAGGGCUCGUAGGCGGCCAACUAAGUCAGACGUGAAAUCCCUCGGCUUAACCGGGGAACUGCGUCUGAUACUGGAUGGCUUGAGUUUGGGAGAGGGAUGCGGAAUUCCUGGUGUAGCGGUGAAAUGCGUAGAUAUCUGGAGGAACACCGGUGGCGAAGGCGGCAUCCUGGACCGGCAUUGACGCUGAGGCGCGAAAGCCAGGGGAGCAAAGCGGG